rnacentral:rRNA from 1 species
UACAGAGGUCCCAAGCGUUGUUCGGAUUCAUUGGGCGUAAAGGGUGCGUAGGUGGCGCCGUAAGUCAGGUGUGAAAUCUCGGGGCUUAACUCCGAAACUGCAUUUGAUACUGCGGUGCUUGAGGACUGGAGAGGAGACUGGAAUUUACGGUGUAGCGGUGAAAUGCGUAGAUAUCGUAAGGAAGACCAGUGGCGAAGGCGGGUCUCUGGACAGUUCCUGACACUGAGGCACGAAGGCCAGGGGAGCAAAAGGG